GAUGAACGCUGGCGGCGUGCUUAACACAUGCAAGUCGAACGAAGCACUUUAGUUGAUUUCUUCGGAUUGAUUCUAAAGUGACUUAGUGGCGGACGGGUGAGUAACGCGUGGGUAACCUGCCUUGUACAGGGGGAUAACAGUUAGAAAUGACUGCUAAUACCGCAUAACCCGCUAAGGUCGCAUGACCUAGACGGAAAAGAUUUAUCGGUACGAGAUGGACCCGCGUCUGAUUAGCUAGUUGGUGAGGUAACGGCCCACCAAGGCGACGAUCAGUAGCCGGCCUGAGAGGGUGACCGGCCACAUUGGGACUGAGACACGGCCCAGACUCCUACGGGAGGCAGCAGUGGGGGAUAUUGCACAAUGGGGGAAACCCUGAUGCAGCAAUGCCGCGUGAGGGAAGAAGGUCUUCGGAUUGUAAACCUAAGUAGACAGGGACGAUAAUG
rnacentral:rRNA from 1 species